rnacentral:misc_RNA from 1 species
UCGUAACAAGGUCUCCGUUGGUGAACCAGCGGAGGGAUCAUUAGAGAGUUGACCCAAACUCCCAAACCCACUGUGAACAUACCCGUACGUUGCCUCGGCGGGGGGGGACCGGCCCAGCUGGGCCCCACCCCUCCGCCGGCGGCCCACCAAACCCUGUUUAGCACUGCAUCUCUGAAGCGAUAAACUAAAUCAGUUAAAACUUUCAACAACGGAUCUCUUGGUUCUGGCAUCGAUGAAGAACGCAGCGAAAUGCGAUACGUAGUGUGAAUUGCAGAAUUUAGUGAAUCAUCGAAUCUUUGAACGCACAUUGCGCCCACCAGUAUUCUGGUGGGCAUGCCUGUUCGAGCGUCAUUUCAACCCCUUAAGCCCUUGUCGCUUAGUGUUGGGAGCCUACGGCGUCCUUUGCCGUCGCUCCUCAAAUCCAGUGGCGGAGCCGGUUUCGCGCUCUGGGCGUAGUAGAUUUUCUCCAUCUCGCCUACAGCCGGGCCCGGCCUUCCCUGCCGUAAAACAAACCCCCCCCCAAUACAGAAGGUUGACCUCGAAUCAGGUAGGAAUACCCGCUGAACCUAAGCAUAUC